UCCUCCAGUAAGUGCAAAGUGAAACUCACAUAAACUGAAGCAAUAUUUUAAAGACUCAGAUGCUAGAAGAGAGAAGCCACAAACUUGAGCAGCUGAUGGACUCUGGGGUCACACUACUGUAACUAAACCCAAAUGACCAAACCACACAAGAAACGUUCACUUCUCUAUUACUGUACAUCAAUUUCUGGUGCAUAACCGUGCAUCACCCAGGUGGGUGCUUCAUAUUGGUGGUGGUUUGUGAAGUUCCCCCUUCCCUGUGAAGCGCUGUCGAGAAAAGUGCUAUAUAAAUUGUGAUGUGGAAGGGUCAUG